rnacentral:rRNA from 1 species
GACGAACGCUGGCGGCGUGCUUAACACAUGCAAGUCGAACGGAAAGGCCCUGCUUUUGUGGGGUGCUCGAGUGGCGAACGGGUGAGUAACACGUGAGUAACCUGCCCCUCACUUUGGGAUAACUUCAGGAAACUGGGUCUAAUACCGGAUAGGAGCUCCUGCUGCAUGGUGGGGGUUGGAAAGUUUCGGCGGUUGGGGAUGGACUCGCGGCUUAUCAGCUUGUUGGUGGGGUAGUGGCUUACCAAGGCUUAGACGGGUAGCCGGCCUUGGAGGGUGACCGGCACCAUUGGGACUGAGACAGGGACCCGGCUCCGACGGGGGGGAGAGGUGGGGGUUGGUGAACAGUGGGCGGGAGCCUGAUGCAGCAACGCCGCGUCCGGGAGGACGGCCUUCGGGUUGGAGGCCGAUUGCGCCUGUGACGAGGCGGGAGUGACGGGAAUGGGUAAAAAAGCCCCGGCUAACUACGUG